UACAGGGGGGGCAAGCGUUGUUCGGAAUUACUGGGCGUAAAGGGCUCGUAGGUGGCCAACUAAGUCGGACGUGAAAUCCCUCGGCUUAACCGGGGAACUGCGUCCGAUACUGGAUGGCUUGAGUUCGGGAGAGGGAUGCGGAAUUCCAGGUGUAGCGGUGAAAUGCGUAGAUAUCAGGAGGAACACCGGUGGCGAAGGCGGGUCUCUGGGCAGUAACUGACGCUCAGGCACGAAAGCGUGGGGAGCAAACAGG
rnacentral:rRNA from 1 species